rnacentral:rRNA from 1 species
CUUGAGACGGCGCACGGGUGCGUAACGCGUAUGCAAUCUGCCUUGUACUGAGGGAUAGCCCAGAGAAAUUUGGAUUAAUACCUCAUAGUAUAUUGAUGUGGCAUCACAUUAUUAUUAAAGAUUUAUCGGUACAAGAUGAGCAUGCGUCCCAUUAGCUAGUUGGUGUGGUAACGGCACACCAAGGCAAUGAUGGGUAGGGGUCCUGAGAGGGAGAUCCCCCACACUGGUACUGAGACACGGACCAGACUCCUACGGGAGGCAGCAGUGAGGAAUAUUGGACAAUGGGCGCAAGCCUGAUCCAGCCAUGCCGCGUGCAGGAUGACGGUCCUAUGGAUUGUAAACUGCUUUUAUACAGGAAGAAACCCUACUACGUGUAGUAGAUUGACGGUACUGUAGGAAUAAGGAUCGGCUAACUCCGUGCCAGCAGCCGCGGUAAUACGGAGGAUCCAAGCGUUAUCCGGAAUCAUUGGGUUUAAAGGGUCCGUAGGCGGUUUUAUAAGUCAGUGGUGAAAUCCGGUAGCUCAACUAUCGAACUGCCAUUGAUACUGUAGAACUUGAAUUACUGUGAAGUAACUAGAAUAUGUAGUGUAGCGGUGAAAUGCUUAGAUAUUACAUGGAAUACCAAUUGCGAAGGCAGGUUACUAACAUUAUAUUGACGCUGAUGGACGAAAGCGUGGGGAGCGAACAGGAUUAGAUACCCUGGUAGUCCACGCCGUAACGAUGGAUACUAGCUGUUUGGUUUUCGGACUGAGUGGCUAAGCGAAAGUGAUAAGUAUCCCACCUGGGGAGUACGACGCAAGUUGAAACUCAAGGAGUGACGGGGCCCGCACAGCGUGGAGCAUGUGCUUACUCGAUGAUA